GAACAGGAGAGGGCAGAAAGGUUAGAAAAACUAACUUUAGUUACAACUAAACAAUUGUGGAGAAGCAUUAUAGUACUGGAAGCCUUCUGCUUCACCUUGGUUAAAUAAUGUGUACUUGUGGUUCCCCGUGGCAGGACUGGGCCUGACUCCCGAAGAGCUGUGUCCAAGUGACCUGUGUGUGGUGCUGAGACUGCCUGGCAUAGAGAAGACAGCUCUGUCUGAAACCAAGGGAAGCUGUAGGGCAUUCUGGCAGCUUGUGGGGUGUUGCUGUGUCUUCCACAGAGGGUGAUUAGGUCUGCAUCAAUGUUCACUGUUCAUGGUCUCAGCUCAGCUGGCUUUUAACAAGAUGAGUCCCAUCAGCU
rnacentral:lncRNA from 12 species